rnacentral:lncRNA from 1 species
AUGGUUAACGCGGCCUCUCUGCUCUGGGGAGGCCGAGCUGGGGCGGCGGCGGGCACAAAGGGGAUGCAGGGUGCGGGUCGAGCGCUGUGUCUGGGGAGUUGGUGCCAGCUCAGUUUUCCUAUCAGGGAAAAAAAAAAUCGUCAUUUUGGGGAACUUUUCCUUUUUUUUAAAAAAAAAAAAUAUAAUUUGGAUUCCACUUUGCAAAACUGCCCGGCCCCCGCUUGGCAUCGGAUGAGCCCAGCUUUGCGCUGUGCCAAGAGNNNNNNNNNNNNNNNNNNNNNNNNNACCCCCCCCAACAAGGGCACCCCCCCCGCCGCGCCCCAUCCCGGGGGUCCCCUGCCUCCUUCUCUCCCCGGGGGAGCCCCCGGGGUUCAGGGGGCGGCCGGGCCGGGCAGCCCCCGGGGGGGUCCCCACCGUCCCCCCCCCUCUCCCCGCUGCCGGGACGGUGCCGGCGGCGGAUUCGUUUGGAAGCCGGGGGAGGGCCGGGGCCAUCGAAGCGAGCCGAGCCCGGGCACCGCGACCGCCCCGACGGCGGGAGGACGAGCCGCCGCCUUCCCUGUCGGCGACACGGCUGUCGCGACAGAACCGGCAGCCCUUCGGGGAGCGGUAAAGCGGCGGAUUAACGCGCCGGGCUGCGCGGAGCCCCACGACUGCCCUAUUCCCACGGAACCCCGACCCCGGCGCCAGCGGGGAGCGCCGCCUCUAUCGCGACAGUCGCCGACGGGGCUCCGCGCGCAGCGGGCUCCAGCUCGGGGGGCCCGGCGGGAUGGGGCCCCCGACGCGCUCCCGGCUCAGGCGCGCUCCCGGGGGAGGCGGGGGGCGGCGGCGCUCACGGGCACGGGCGCGGACACGAGCGGGGGCUGCGCGCUCUGCCCCGCGCACACUCGCGCCCCGCUCCGCUCCCCGAAAAGCGCCGGUGCCGGUACCGGUGCCGGUGCCGCCGGUGCCCCGGUAGGUGCCGAGCACGAGAGGGGGGAGGAGGGGUCGCGGGGAGCCGGUACCCGGUUGACGGCAACCCCGGGGACGCGCUCCCGGUGCGCCCCGUCCGGGCGCGGAGAACCCACCCAGCACCGGGCACCGGGAACCGGGCACCGGACACCGGGAACCGGGCACCGGGAACCGGGCACCGGGAGCCGGCCCGCGGGUGUGUGGGGGGGUCCCGUCGGGUCUCUUGGACGCGGAGCUGGGGAUGGGGGGAGCGACCCCCGCCGCGGCAUCCCCGGGACCCGGAGCGGACGGGGAGGCUCCCGGGGAUCCCGGGGGCAAGGUCGGGGCUUGCCCUAA